CGAGGGAUUCGAUUUCUUGGCAUACAGGUAGGACUUUUAUUUUGGAGGAUCCACGUCGUUCUCGGCACCACGUCGCCGUCGCCGUCGUCGUCGAAGUCGUCGUUGUCGUCGUUGUCGUCGUUGUCGUUGUCGUGGUCGUGCUCGUCGAGCAACCUGUUCGAUUACCAUAUAUCUUGGAAGGAAAGGCGACAAUGGCGUGGUGCGCGAGACUACUUUCGCAGAUCGCCAUUCCGUGAUUAUACGUCACGACAUAAUUUAUUGGACCUUGUCAAAGCACGCAGUGCUUUCGUCACGUUUUCUUUUCCAAGUGAGCCACCCACUUUGGCGGAGGGAACGGGAACAUCGACAAUUGAUCGCAAUUGAUCCCAUCGCCAUGGCCAAUGCGACAAUCUCCGAGCGGCAAUCCGUUUGCCACGCGAAACGUUUCAACGCGUAGUAUCGUCUCGCCUUGAAAAUUUAUCCGAGUAUUUCCAAUCGACGAAUUGAUUUAAUCUAUAAGUAAGAUACUUUGGAGAAAAGACUUUGGAGAAAAUUUCCAGAUAUAUAAUAAUACACGAUUCUCACGUUCGUAUCUCUUUUCAAGGCAUCUUUUUUACAGCUUACACCGAUAAAUAAGCUUACGAGAUUUUCGGCGACUGGAAUAUUUUUCAUACUACGUUCUGUGAUUACAUUCACACACGAUUGAGCGUAUCGUGCGUGGGCGUAACGCUAAUGAAAGAUAAGAGAUAGUAUAUUUAGAGCUGCGUUCACACUAACACAGAGCAAUAGGAUUGCGAUAUCAGUAAGUGGAAAGUGGUAUGCCAAAAGUAAUUAUUCUCGACACUCAUUGAUAUUUUAAUUUAUUUAAUUAAGAAAUUUAGAUAUUUUUGUAAGUUUAUUUGUCAAGAAAAUUAUUGAAAUAUUAUACGAUUAAUUUUUAGAAUAUCGUUUUUCAUUCCUACCGUAAUAAA